rnacentral:lncRNA from 10 species
GAGACUAAGGUGUCAGUAUGUUCUUCAAGCUGCUCUGCUCCUGGGCCCAAGCUAUUCUCCUGCCUCAGCCUUCCAAGAAGCUGAAACUACAAGAACACAAGACUGUACCUGGCUUGCAAACACCAUUGCUAAUAAGAAGAUAUUGUAAGACUGAUACCUAAGAGAUAAGAGACAUGGAUCCCUGAGGUCGGUCCCCAAUACGACAAGACAAUUUGAUAUCAUAAUAGAACACUGCAGAAACAAUGCUGAGUGAAGAAGAGUAGAAAUGGGAAGACUUGGUUGAGCGGAAACUGAGUUCUUGAAAAGAGGAGAUGCUUGAUGAGGGCAUGGAUCCCUGAGGUCUGCCCCAGUACUAUAAGACAAUUUGAUGUAAGAAAACACAGCAGAUAUAAUACUGAGUGAAGAAGAGUAUAAAUGAGAAGAUUGGUUGUGCAGAUACUGAGUUCAUGAAAAGAGGAGAUGAUUGAUGAGGAUGGAGUCUUGCUCUGUCGCCCAGCCUGGAGUGCAGCAGCACG